rnacentral:rRNA from 1 species
CCCUUAGAUGUUCUGGGCCGCACGCGCGCUACACUGAUGCAUUCAACGAGUUUUUCCUGGUCCGAGAGGAAUGGGUAACCUUUUGAAAGUGCAUCGUGCUAGGGAUAGACUAUUGCAAUUAUUGGUCUUCAACGAGGAAUUCCUAGUAGACGUAGUUCAUCAGACUGCAUCGAUUACGUCCCUGCCCUUUGUACACACCGCCCGUCGCUCCUACCGAUUGGAUGUUCCGGUGAGCUCUUCGGACUGCGCGGUCUGCAGUUUCUGCGUUCCGUGCGGAAAGUUGCGCAAACCUUAACAUUUAGAGGAAGGAGAAGUCGUAACA